GAAGCUCUUUUGACAGUGCAGGGCUACUGAAGUGGGGCCCUCUGGCACUCCUAAAAUCUGACCCAAGUCACAAACCCUCUCCUGUAGAGACUCAUGUGGGCACAUCCUCACCCCAUUUGUUUUCAGUUCAAGGGAGAUCAUGGGACCCCUGAUGCGCACUUGAGACCCACCCUAGUUAAAAAGUCCUAUUUCCAUCUCUUUCAACCCUUCCAGGCCCUGGGGGUCCCAGGCCGAGUCAACAGCUCCGGCUACAUUGUGGUGAACUCCACGGCCAUGGACGCUCAGGUGCUGGUCACCGUGGAUGCCAGCACGCUACGGGGGCUGCUUGUCCUCAGUACCACCGAGACCCAGCAGGAGGUGAACUUGCUGCUCACACACAACCUGCCUCAGCCCAACCCCUUGGCCCUCCCAGCCCAGAUCCUGCUGUACCUGACCAACGAGAGGCUCGGGCCCAGCUACAGACACACCCUGUGGGUCGGAGUGGAUGGCAAAGAGGGCACAUCUCCCUGGGUUGCAGACUCCAGCACAGCAUGCCUGCACUGCAGACGCUGUGGGUGGAGGACACGGUGGCCCUUCAGGUCAGCCUUGGCGAGCGGCAGUGAUAAUGGAAAUCAUUCAUUCAUUCAUUCAACAAACCUUUUUGGAAGUACCUCUGAGACAAGGGGAUGGUAGAACAAGCUUCAGACCUCCCUCUGAGCCUCAGCCUUACAUCUGGAAAUUGGGGCUGCUGAUACUCAUUUUUCCCUGGUGGCUCAGCUGGUAAAGAAUCCGCCUGCAAUGUGGGAGACCUGGGUUCGAUCCCUGGGUUGGGAAGAUCCCCUCGAGAAGGGAAGCCCCACCCACACCAGUAUUCUUGCCUGGAGAAUCCCAUGGACAGAGGAGCCUGGGGGGCUACAGUCCAUGGGGUCACAAAGAGUAGGACACAACUGAGUGACUUUCCCUUCACGUUUCACUUUCAGUAUUCAUUUCCUUCACCCAGCCACGCCCCCAGGACUGUUACACAUUCUCCUCCUCUAGAGCCCUCUCCCUCACUCCUAGCAGACCAGAGCUCAUCCUCAGCCCUCUUUUUCCACAUUGUCCAUACACAUUCCCUUCACGGUCUUAACCGGUCUCUCAUAUCAAUGGCAUAUCUGCACUGCCAUGUCCCCCAUCUCUUCCUCCCCUGAACCCCAGAUCAGUAGGCCCACCUGCCCACUGUAUCUCCAUUCAGAUGCCUGGCAAGGCACCUCCGACUUUAGCUGUUCCAAAACCAGAAAGGCCAGCCCCCCAGACCAGCCCCUCCCUGUCUCUCUCCAUCUUGGCAAGCAAUGCCUAGUCCAUCCUUCCCACCGUGUAGUCAAACCCUUGAAAUCAACCUCGAUUGGCCAAGCCCUCAUCCAGGAACCCCCUAAAGCAGCACCUCAUUAGAACAAAAGACUCUAUCACCCAGGAAGUUCCAAGGGACCUAUGAGCUCCGUGUCAUAUUCCCCUGUCACCCCCAUCACUCAGUCUACAAAGCUGUACGAGUUCUGUGCCAGGAACUGGGAUCAAAGACCAACCGUUAGCAGGAACUGGGACCAGGGGCCUUGGUGGCUGCAGCUUCAUUGUGCCAUGCCCUUCCUUGCCUCUCCCCAGCUUUCUCUUUUCCAUCGACUUCCCAUCAUCUGACACGUGAUGCCUUCCGUGUUGUCCC
ensembl:lncRNA